rnacentral:rRNA from 1 species
UUCCAGACUCCUACGGGAGGCAGCAGUGGGGAAUAUUGCGCAAUGGGCGAAAGCCUGACGCAGCGACGCCGCGUGAGGGAUGAAGGUCUUCGGAUCGUAAACCUCUGUCAGCAGGGAAGAACGGUCACUGUGCUAAUCAGCAGUGAAUUGACGGUACCUGCAAAGGAAGCACCGGCUAACUCCGUGCCAGCAGCCGCGGUAAUACGGAGGAUGCGAGCGUUAUCCGGAUUUAUUGGGUUUAAAGGGUGCGCAGGCGGAUUUUUAAGUCAGCGGUCAAAUCGUGGGGCUCAACCCCAUCCAGCCGUUGAAACUGGGGAUCUAGAGUGUGCGAGAGGUAUGCGGAAUGCGUGGUGUAGCGGUGAAAUGCAUAGAUAUCACGCAGAACCCCGAUUGCGAAGGCAGCAUACCGGUGCACAACUGACGCUCAGGCACGAAAGCGUGGGUAUCGAACAGGAUUAGAUACCCGUGUAGCU